rnacentral:rRNA from 1 species
UGAGGAACAUGACCUUCGGCGGGGGAUAGCCGGCCCAACGGCCGGAUAAUACCGCGUACGACCACAUGGGGACGUCCCUGAGUGGUGAAAGCAGCAAUGCGCCGAUGGAGUGCCUCGCGGCCUAUCAGCUAGUUGGUGAGGUAACGGCUCACCAAGGCGACGACGGGUAGCUGGUCUGAGAGGAUGGCCAGCCACAUUGGGACUGAGACACGGCCCAGACUNUACGGGAGG